AAUUCGCCCAAGUGGGAGUUAUGCAUGGGCCAAAGACUACCAGCGAUGAUACUAGAAAGGAGGUUGAGAUUACACCAGAAAAGAGAAGAUUGAUACCAGAAAGGAGAAGGUUGAGAGGAUACCAGAAAGGAAAAGGUUGAGAUGAGGUUGAGGAUACCAGAAAAGAGAAGAUUGAUACCAGAAAGGAGAAGGUUGAGAGGAUACCAGAAAGGAAAAGGUUGAGAUGAGGUUGAGGAUACCAGAAAAGAAGAUUGAUACCAGAAAAGAGAAGAUUGAGAGGAUAGCACAAAGGAGAAAGUUGAGGUGAUACCAGAAAGGAGGUUGAGAUGAUACCAGAAAGGAGACAGUUGAGAUGAUACCGAAAGAAGAAGGCACCUUCUCCUCUGGUCUUCAAGCUUCCCUUUGCAUUU